rnacentral:rRNA from 1 species
CAGUCGAGAAUCUUCGGCAAUGGGCGCAAGCCUGACCGAGCGACGUCGCGUGGAGGACGAAGGCCUUCGGGUUGUAAACUCCUGUCGAGGGGGAGAAAGGUCUCGCAAGAGGCUUGAUCGAUCCCUGGAGGAAGCACGGGCUAAGUUCGUGCCAGCAGCCGCGGUAAGACGAACCGUGCGAACGUUAUUCGGAAUCACUGGGCUUAAAGCGCGUGUAGGCGGAUUGGAACGUCGGCGCCUGAAAUCCCCCGGCUCAACCGGGGAACGCGGCCCGAAACGACCAGUCUGGAGGGACGUAGGGGGGACUGGAACUUCCGGUGGAGCGGUGAAAUGCGUUGAGAUCGGAAGGAACGCCCGUGGCGAAAGCGAGUCCCUGGACGUCUACUGACGCUGAGACGCGAAAGCUAGGGGAGCGAACGGGAUUAGA